rnacentral:rRNA from 1 species
GACGAACGCUGGCGGCGUGCUUAACACAUGCAAGUCGAACGGAAAGGCCUCUUUCGGGGGGUACUCGAGUGGCGAACGGGUGAGUAACACGUGAGUAACCUGCCCUUGACUUUGGGAUAACUUCAGGAAACUGGGGCUAAUACCGGAUAGGAGCUCCUGCUGCAUGGUGGGGGUUGGAAAGUUUCGGCGGUUGGGGAUGGACUCGCGGCUUAUCAGCUUGUUGGUGGGGUAGUGGCUUACCAAGGCUUUGACGGGUAGCCGGCCUGAGAGGGUGACCGGCCACAUUGGGACUGAGAUACGGCCCAGACUCCUACGGGAGGCAGCAGUGGGGAAUAUUGCACAAUGGGUGGAAGCCUGAUGCAGCAACGCCGUGUGCGGGAUGACGGCCUUCGGGUUGUAAACCGCUUUCGCUCAUGACGAAGCUUUGUGUAACGGUAGUGGGUAAAGAAGCACCGGCUAACUACGUG